rnacentral:rRNA from 1 species
GAUGAACGCUGGCGGCGUGCCUAAUACAUGCAAGUCGAGCGAACAGACGAGGAGCUUGCUCCUUUGACGUUAGCGGCGGACGGGUGAGUAACACGUGGGUAACCUACCUAUAAGACUGGGAUAACUUCGGGAAACCGGAGCUAAUACCGGAUAAUAUUUCGAACCGCAUGGUUCGAUAGUGAAAGAUGGCUUUGCUAUCACUUAUAGAUGGACCUGCGCCGUAUUAGCUAGUUGGUAAGGUAACGGCUUACCAAGGCAACGAUACGUAGCCGACCUGAGAGGGUGAUCGGCCACACUGGAACUGAGACACGGUCCAGACUCCUACGGGAGGCAGCAGUAGGGAAUCUUCCGCAAUGGGCGAAAGCCUGACGGAGCAACGCCGCGUGAGUGAUGAAGGUCUUCGGAUCGUAAAACUCUGUUAUUAGGGAAGAACAAACGUGUAAGUAACUGUGUACGUCUUGACGGUACCUAAUCAGAAAGCCACGGCUAACUACGUG